AUGCGUGUUCAAUGUAAAAUCUGCCAUGCCUUUUGGUUUUGUGCAUGCGUGUGGCUUCGCAAGCCGUGUGAUUGCUGUUUGUUAAUUACCUCUUCCAUGGUAAGCACAAAAGAGUUCAACAACGACAACUACUACUACAACAACAACAAUUUGUCACCGUGGCCUAUACUUUUUGCGGAAAACCUUUUGGUCUAUUCAUCAUACAUCAUGACAGUACAAAGGACACAAAUAAUACAAACAACAUUCAUGUUCAUAAACCACCUAGCGACGAGUACAAGCACUGGAGCGAGCCAAAAGUGCGCCGUCAUUAUUGCCCCUCCCUCAUCAGAAUCGGACAAGCUUUGUUGUCAUAAACGAUCAGGAAAUUGUCGUGCUAAAAUUCCAAAGGACCAACGCAUCAGAACAACAACCGUCAACAAUGAAGAGAAGCGUAGAUCGGAAGGAUCUAACCUGUUAACAUAUGGACGUAGACUGGAUCCAAACAAAUCCACUGAAGAAAAACACCGACCAAAUCCUGCAAGAUCCGCCGGAGACACACCUUCACAUGUCCUUCAACAACGCUAG
rnacentral:rRNA from 1 species